UGUUGGUUCAUGUCAAAUUAAUUUUGAUAAAUAAGCCGCACCUGACUAUAAGUCGCAGGACCAGCCAAACUAUGUAAAAAGUGCAACUUAUAGUCCGGAAAAUACGGUAAAAAACUAAAUCAAAAGCUGAAGAACAUUAGAAAGGUUAAGUUACUGAAUCAUGGUUUCAAAAUUUCAUAUCUGUGGCAAAAAAAAUCAGUAUUUUGGGUUAAAAAAUCCUUAAAAUAAUGUAUUUUUUGGUUUUAGAUAAGAGUUGGAUAUGUCAAAUUUCUUACCAGACUGGCAGUUUUUGGCUCACUAAAUUUUAAUAUUUUUUUUAAUUUUUGGCUCACUAGAUUUAUUUAUUUUUAAGCUAUGGUUAAAACAAGACAAUAACAGUUUGCUAGUUUAGUAAGAAAAUGAAAGCAAUUUUGAUUAGAUAACCUGAAAUACAUUUCCUAGUCCUCUGGAAUUUUUAUUUUUGUAAAAUUUGUAGUAACAAAACAACAGUUUGAAGGUGGAAAACUAAUAAAGACAAUUAAAGUAAAAGAAAAGAAAAAACAUAAUUCAAGAUCUAUUUUCUGAAAACAAGUUUAGAUUUUUUUUAUGAUUAAAAAUACUGAUUAAUAUAAAGAAAAUAUAUAAUUUAUGUAUUUUUUUCUGUCUCAUUGAAUGACAGUAUAUACGUUAGAUGUAAAGUUUAGUUUGUCUUUCUCAGAGAUUGGUCCAAAUGCUUGUACUGCACCUCAUGAAUGUUUUAGUAUACUUCAUUCCAAAAUUAUGAGAAUAUUCAAACCGCUAGUGGCUACAUAGUAGCCUCUCCUUUUGGUACGUUUUGCCCCAUCUGCUUAAAUACAUUCUCUGCAUAUAAUAAUGAAAAGUGACAUUCUGUCAUUUUCACUGUGCAUUACUGUUUUUUUUUUUUUUUUCAGAGAUUGCUAGUUUAUUUAGACUUGUCUCUGCCAUAAGAGGAGUAGUCUGUGGAUUCAGAGUAAAGGGUCAGUCAGCACUGCUGGGGUUUCACAUGAUGUCGUUCUGAGGUUUCAAGGAAAGCUCGUCUCCCAUUGUCAUGGGUGGAGCUCCAACCCUGAUUUAUUUUUUUCUUUUCUGCCCUUUCUAUCUCCAUCUCAAAAAUGUGCGAUGUCUUUCUGGUGUCAAAGCGCAUUGUUUGUGUGUUAAAUUAGCUUUAAUUAAAGGGUUUCAGCUGAACACAUUCAUGUAUGCGAGUCAGGUUUUGUUAGUAAACAGGGCGUCAGAAUUAUAGGUUAUGCAAUGGACUGCAUGAAACUGAAAUGGGGAUUCAUUUACUCCCACAACUGUUCCUGAGGGCAGACUUCUAAAAGUGAGAACAAAACCGAAGCAUUUCUUAGCAUGUGCAUUGACUGUAGUGACAAAGCUAUGCUAUCUGAUUACACAGUUCAUUGGAUGCAUGAUCACAGUUUCACUGGGCAGACCCAAAUAUAGCUUCAGCCUGAAGCCUGAGCUCAGAGAGAGGAGGAAUGAUUAGAAGAGACAGUCUCUGCAGACUCCAGCUCUGACGCUCACGCUGACAGGCUGCACUACGGCAAGCUAUAGGCAGUUCGAAAUGGUCUCUUCUUCUGGCUUUGCUCAUAAUAAACCUAUGUACCAAAUCAUGUCAACAUUCCGGUGUGACCAUUUCCCAACUCAAGCAGCAAAUAUUUGCAGAAGCCUUCGGCAAAUUCUUCGCAUGUGCAUGACGCAGAUGUACUAGUGAACUCUCACUCUCUAACACGUAUUGUGUAUCUUUCUUGCUCUAUUUUUUUUUUCUUUUUCUCUCUUCCCAUACCUAAAUCUGCUUUAAUCUUUCAGUAUCUUUGGCUGUGACUUGGAGAAGAGCUGGUUAAUGCCUGUCCCCUGGGCAGAGACGUGAGGAGGAUUGAUGGCAGGAGAUCUAAUGUAGGGCGACAGGUUGCCUGGCUUGUCUGAAGGGGGCCAGAUCAGGACCUUACAUCCUUGCAACUUUGAUUCAGCCGUGGUUUGCAUUCUUUGCGAUCUUUACGGCUGGUUGAGAAGGAAGAAGGAGAAGCUGGCCAUGUUUCCCAGUGGCUGUGUGGUGGUAUUGCCCACUCUGGUGAAGACUUGCAUUAGUUGUUUUUUUUUUUUUUUUUUUUUUUUCAUUGUGCAACUUCACGCCUGUGUAGCAUGAUCUGCAAGCACUUGACUGCUGACUGUCAUCAGAUAUACCAGGCACAGGCCAAAAGAGCUUGGACGUCAGUUUCCACUGUUACAAUCAAGGGUUGUUCAAAAGAGAUAGGAUUAAACAUCUGAAGUAAUAACACAACAAAUUUUAACAGUGUCUUAGUAUAUGUGACUAUUGUAACCUUUUUAAUGAAAUACUUUUCUAUUUCCUUCAUCGCAGGAUUGAACAACACUGCAAAUAAGGAACUGAUUGCACAUGGUUUUAAUGCAAUUUACGUAAUCAGAAAAAUACAAUUUCAGCCUUUUUUUUCACGGCUCACUGGAAUAAUAAACUCUGGUCAGUCACUGCC